AUACUCAUCGUGGUGACCGUCCUACAUUGACCUGUGUAGACACUCGCUCUCCAGGCAGAUAUUUCUUCUCAAGAACUGGUCUGUCCUGGGAGAGAGGAAGCUGUGUGCCUUGGGUGUGUUGGUCUCACCCCCACCAAAUUCUCGGUGUUGGUUUGAAAAAACCUCACCUUGAACUGAAAUAAAUCUCUCUUGGUUUGGGUUUUCUUUAAACCUCACCUUGCCAGAAAUCUUUUCUUGAAAUACGAGAA